rnacentral:misc_RNA from 1 species
UAAAUAAACCAGAAGUGGAGCCAGAGCCAGAGCCAAAGCCAGAGCAAUCAGAACCCAAGUCCAACCACAUUAAUCUCUUUGAAGGGAUCAAGAUUUUUGACCCAGUUAAGGGAUUGGAGAAAGAAGGGGAUGCUGAGAGGGAUGGGUUUAGAAAGAAGAAGAUGAAGAAAGAGGAGGUGAGAGUUGUGACUGCUGAGGAUGAGAAGUAUAGGUUGGGUUAUGGGGUUGCUGGAAAAGGAGUUAAGUUGCCCUGGUACCUCGAGAGACGCAGUGAUGAUGUGAAUGAGAAGGAUGAAGAUGAUGGGUCGAUGAGAGGGAAGGAGGUUAUGAAGAAGAGUGGCAAGAAGACAUUGGAAGAACUAAGAGAGGAAAGAUUGAAAAGGGAAAAGCAGGAAAAAGAGAGGGAACGGGCAUUGUUGGAGAAGAAGCAGAGAGAUAGAGCUGGUUUUAGGAGUGGAAUGUUUUCCAGGAGGUGAGGUUAUUGAAGUGUUUAUUAUAUUAAUGUAUUUUGUCUCGUUUUAAAGGUUUAUAAGCAUGAAAUUUGGUCUCUCGGUCAGCAUAUUAAUUUGAUUGUUGAUCCUGAUAUAUUGUUUGUAGUUGCAUUGCUAUCUUUUUUUGAAGCCUAAAAGGCUCUUACACUAGACA